GCACCUGUGUUGCAUUAACUAAUCAUGGGCCGAGACCGGGAGCACCCACAGAGAGAGCGACUUUUUGAGUUUCGUGUAAUUUGGUUUGAUCUGUCCGAGCAGGACACAACAAGGAAGUACGUCGCCUCUGAAAAGCAGUGAACUGACAAGUUGCCGCUCAGUUUUGCUUUAUUUUGUCUUUGUUAUUUUAGUUUGUUGUUUUUGCCUGGAACCCGUGAGUGGAAGGGUGACGGUGUUUUUGUUUAUUUAAUUUCGUGUUGGUGAGGGUGCGCGCUCUCUCUCUCUCUCUCCAUGCAGCAACCAAACACGGCGCACUCCUGGGACUGCUACUUUCCCAGGCUGUUAUUCGCCAUUCACCAGAUGGGGUAAUUGCUCACCUUCAGUUGGGUAAAUCCAGAGUGAGGGCGCCCCAGUCCAGCUUUUUUUUACGAUCGAUGAGCGGCUCCAGGACAAGAAAACGCGUGGAGAUCUGCGUGUGGAGUGAACGCUGCCCUUGGAAACUUUACAAAUCGAUGCAGCGACCGGUGAUUGGUGGAGAAACAUCGCGGAGAGGAUUUUGACGAUGACGAUGGCCAGGAACGUCACCAGGCCCGUCACCAGCGCCAUGGAGAUCCAGAUGAUCGUCAUGGUGUUGUACUUUAGGGGAACUGUAACACAAUCAUCCCGGUGAGUAACGGUGUUUAUAUAUUAAAAACACAUAAAACACAAAAAAAAAAAAAAAUCAAUUAUGACUCAGAAAAAACUUCAAGAACCAUCGCUUGAAAGGCUGCUGUGAGUUCACAAUGCCUGUCUGUCCAGCUAACAAGUUGUUCUUGGACUGCUAAGUGCACAAUUAAUUGCAAAGCAUGUCAUCUUUAUGGUUGUGUUAUGAGAUAAGCCAGACAGACCAUACCUGCUGUUUAGUUGUCCAUAAUAUUUUUAAAGCAUUUUUUAAGCAUUUUUUUCAAUAUCAGUAAAUGUUCCUAAAAACACAGGAGGCUCCAAAUACAAAUUCAAACCAAAACAAAGUGCAAACUUCUGUUUAGACGUAUCCUGCCUGCAUGAACAUAAGAUGUGCCAUGUUUUUAAUAUUUUUGAAAGUCUGACCAAAAGCUGCCACGGUACACUGGAGUCUGCAAGUUCUCUACACUGUCUGAAAAUAUCCACAAAUAUCCUUUAUAAAAUAAAAUUCAGCGAUUACACUACUGGCAUUAUGAUCCUCUGAACCACCUGGCAGUGAGAGAGUUGUUAGCUCUCAGCGGUUGGAGACAUCAUGUGACCUGCAGCUCGUGAACCCACC